GGCAUGGAAUCCUGCGGAAUCCACAAGACCACGUUCAACUGCGUCAUGAAGUGUGAUGUGGACAUCUUCAAAGACCUGUAGGCC
rnacentral:pre_miRNA from 1 species